CCGGAGAUCGCCUCAGCAUGGUCCCAGAGAGAAGGGGGAAGGGCCUUCAUCACGCCAGCGACGAGACGACCAAUGAUGGCUGAGAUGGGCGUGCUGUGGAAGUCGGGGGGCUCAGGCCUCACCCCGCCCUUGAAAGAUAAGGGAAAGGGUACUCGGUGCUGGUAUUGGUGUCGCUGUUCUAACUAUGGAUGUCCUCAAACGGUCCUGUUUGCCAAAGUUUUAUUGGUUGAGAAUCACGAUUUCUGAUCGGAUAUAGCUUCAAAAACUGUGAAGUAUCUAUUACGGGUUUACCUGCUGUUUUUCUUCUACUUCUUCACCUCAAAUCUCAAGGGGGUCCCACAUGGCUGUCCCAGCCCCACGAAGCUGGAGUCUGAAUGGUGGGGGGGCAGGUGGGCAGUCGGCCUUAGGAACAUGGGCGGCAGCCGCACUCGAGGUGUCUCUCCACCUCCUCGACGAAUGAGGAGCCGUCGGUGCACUGGAAGACGUAUUUCCGCCGCUUGCUGCGGGUGGGUUGACAGCACUGGGGCCCACAGCCCCCACGACAUUCCAUGAUGGGCACUUUGGAGGCCGUGGCACAUGAGGCAUAGCCCUUCUGGCGGCGGAUCACCUCUCGGACCACCUCCCCCAGGCAUGGGUUCUCUGCAGGGGACAGAAGAGGCCAGGUCAGGGCCUGGGUGGUACAGAUGACCGGCCGGGGGCCAUUCUUGGGCCGGCUGUCCGCGAACCUUGGUGGCCUGAAGACCCUUUGUACUUCACGCGUUCUUCCACCUGCCUGUCCACGAACCCAUGCAGCUGUUGCACAAAUACGGAGUGCUUCUUCUGCGCCUACCUUGCUGCUAGAUUUACAACUAAGGCCUGAGCAUUUCCUGGUGACAAAAGCAGGCCCUGUCCUUUCCUUCAAGGAACUCAGACACCACAGUAGAUGUGGCCAAGUAGUAGGCUAUGGGCUAAAUCCUGGCCCCAGAUUUUGAUUGUGCCACCUAGACUUAGAAACCAAAUUAAAGGUCACCAUUAAAAACCCCACAAGAUCAAUUAAAUACUGGGAUUUCUGGCUUUGCCAAAAACCAGGAAGUCUCUAGUUUUGCCCCAUGCCCACUGGUAUAGAGUUGAGAUACUAAUUCUCUCCUCCCCGAAGUGAAUGCGUGGUAAGGAUAAACUGAGAUGGGGGCUACAGACCUGAACAGCGCAAGGCGUUGGAUGUAGCCCAGGGCUGUGUCUGGGGGACCUGCUGUGGAGGGGGGAGCUGAAUGAGGAGUUAAUGAGCCCCGAUAACAGCCUGAAUCUUCCACGCCCAGCCAAACUCUCUGUGUGGACACUAGGAGGAGGUCUAAAGCAAGGCCCUGAGGAGAAGGAGGAGCUUAGACCCCCAGCCCUGCAGCCUGGUCAAGACACUGGUCAUCUCUGAGCCACUCUCCUCGUCUGGAAGACGGUGACCCAUUUCCCUGUUCUUCUUACUGCUCACAGGUUAUGAGCCUCAGGGGAGACUGAAGGAGAAAGGUUUCUAUUCAUUUUAAUGAAUUUUGGUAAGCAUGAUGUAACAAGCUCUUAAUUAAAAAAAAAAUUACACAUUAGUGCCUGUGUGUACAAUGCGGGGUGGUGGGCGAGAGCCCAUGUGGCAAUAUGGUCAUUGGGGAAUCUGUUGACAGGAGUGUGAAUGCUAUUUUUUGACAAGUUUUCUGUUAAAUCUCAGAUUAUUUCAAAAUAUAUAUAUAUAUA